AACGAACGCUGGCGGCAUGCCUAACACAUGCAAGUCGAACGAGACCUUCGGGUCUAGUGGCGCACGGGUGCGUAACGCGUGGGAACCUGCCCUUAGGUUCGGAAUAACUCCCCGAAAGGGGUGCUAAUACCGGAUAAUGUCUUCGGACCAAAGAUUUAUCGCCUUUGGAUGGGCCCGCGUUGGAUUAGCUUGUUGGUAGGGUAAAAGCCUACCAAGGCGACGAUCCAUAGCUGGUCUGAGAGGAUGAUCAGCCACACUGGGACUGAGACACGGCCCAGAAUCCUACGGGAGGCAGCAGUGGGGAAUAUUGGACAAUGGGCGAAAGCAUGAUCCAGCAAUGCCGCGUGAGUGAUGAAGGCCUUAGGGUUGUAAAGCUCUUUUACCCGGGAUGAUAAUGACAGUACCGGGAGAAUAAGCUCCGGCUAACUCCGUG
rnacentral:rRNA from 1 species